AAGAACAAAGGAAGAAAAGAAGAGCACAAACCCUAGGUGGAAAAAUUCAAGGGAAAAGUGUGAAAAUUCAAGUAAUCAAGCAAUCAAAGGUAAAAUUUCUUGAUUUUGACUUGCGAUCUACCUUUUCCAUACAUUAUUUUGCAUUUUCCAUGGUUGAAUCACAAGAAAUCAUGAAGGAUUCAUGGCUGACUGAAUUUAGAGAAAGAAGAUUUGAUGGUUGUUUUGGUUAGAUUUUAAGAUAUUCUAGUGUUUUUAGUUAGUUAGUGAUGUGUAGAAUACUGUGUUUAGACGAUAAUCCGAACAAUUUGCAUCCCAUUUCAUACAUUAGUAUUAAAGACUGAAUUGGUUUUAUAACAAUUUAGCAUAAUGUAGUAAAUGGCUUAUUGUGCAUUAUGUCUAGGUGGUGAGCAUUCUGGCAAAAGUAAAGAGAUAGUACCCGAGGAAUCAAGAAUCGGAGUACUUGGAAUUCGACUCCCGAAAUAGUGAGUAACCUUACUAUCAUCUUAAUUAUCUAAAGUAUAUUUUAUUUGAUUUUGUGAAUUUUAUGGAAAAUGAAUUAAAUGAUUAAUUUUUCAGUUUUAUAAACCAAAUGUGAUUUAAUGAAAUGAUUUCAUAAAAUUGUUUUAAAAUUGAAUGAUGGUUUGAAAAUAGAGUAAUUGGAGACUGUUUUUGUAUGUUGUAAAUUCAUGAAUCUAAUUGAUUAGCUUAUGGCAAUAUUGGUAUGAAUGGUUGAUUUGAUAAAUGUGUUGGAAAUGUAUAAAUUGUUGAUUUGCCUUGCAAGGCUGUAAAAUGAAAUAAAAUAUUUGCCAUGUCAUGCUAUUGCAAAUUUUAUUGAAUUGAUGGGUUAUAUAUUGGUCGCUACAGUGGACAGGUUUCGUGGACCAGCCUAUUAGAGGGGCACGGUAACCUUAUUAUAUUCAUACCUCAGUAUGAGAGGCGCGGUUGGAUAACUUUUGAGGUUAAAACUUUAGAGUUCACUUCACGCCAAACCACCACGUGAGGGUGAACUCAGCCAACGCCAAGGAACGACUAUGUUUUCAAAAUAAAAACAAAAUUUAUGCGUACAUAACUUUUUAACAGCCUUGGCAAACUCGGUUGGGAUAGCCCUCGGCCAAGGUAUCCCUAAUAACUGAGUAUGAGAAUGAUUUUGGCACGAGCUAGAGUUUUAAGAAAUUCAUAAGCCAUGUUGAUUACUCGAUUUAUAUGAAUUGAUUUUAUUUGGUUGAAAUGAGUUGAAAGGUGAUGAAUUACAGUAUGUUUGAAUUUAUUUAGCUUUUACGCUACAAAAACUAUUUACCAGUAACUCUAUAAAUAUUAUUUUAUAAGAAAAUAGAAUAUUUUAUUGAAUAUUUUUAUUAUGUUCACAUAGUUAUAAUUUCACUUAAAAUGAAUGUUUUAGACAUCUAAACUUAUUUUUGAUUAUGAAUUUUGUGUUUUAUACUCGUAUGCUACAUUUUUAACUGGUUUCGAAAUUUUUGAAAAAAAUGACCAAAAUACCCUUGUGUAGUUGAAAUUUCUCUUUGACUGUUUUUGAACUGAAAUUGGUUCAUAUCACUUUAAAACAUGAUUUUAGUAACUAAUACUCGCAGGGGAAGCGAGAAAACUAAUGUUAAGCCUUGCGAGGUAUCGAUUGGCAUUCCGGGUAAUGAAUGUCUAUCGGGACAUCGCGACGAUUAUCACGGGCUCGAUGGGAGUUUCGGGUCAUAACAAGUUCUGCCAUGGAUCUUGUGAAAGCAAGCACUAAGUUAUGUGAUUAUAAAAAGAAAGCUGUAAGCUGAGAGUGAUAUUAGUAUUAAUAUUGAAAAGUACUUAAG
rnacentral:lncRNA from 1 species